rnacentral:RNase_P_RNA from 1 species
CGAGCGGGAUAAGAUGAUCGCGGCGGCGUUUGAGCGCGCAAGCAAUCGAGCGUUCGUCGAGGAAAGUCCGGGCUCCACAGGACAGGGUGCUGGCGCAGGCCAGUCGGGGUGACUCGAAGGAAAGUGCCACAGAAAGUAAACCGCCCGUGUUCACACGGGUAAGGGUGAAAGGGUGUCGGUAAGAGCGCACCGGGCCGCUGGUGACAGGGGUCGCACGGUAAACCCCACCCGGAGCAAGGCCGAGCAGGGGCAGCUCGCAACCCUCGGGAAGCGAGCAGGGGCUGUCCGCCCCGCCUCGGGUAGCGCCGCGUAGAAGAAUGAUCAUCACCCGGCGAGAGCAAUCGAGUCGGGGACAGAACCCGGCUUACGACCCGUCUCGACCG